GAUGCUGAAAUGUGGGUAUAAGAACACAAAUUCAAGUUGUUGUGCCUAAUAUAAGACAAUCACAAUUUUAGUUUUACAUAAGUAUUUAACAUUUCUGGAAGAUUUUUUUCUCAAUAUUAUGAUAGGUGGUCUUAUAAAUUUACUAAUCAUAAUAUAUUUAUGUAUUCUAUGAUGAAUAAAUAGUUGACUGAAUUUCCAUUAUACACACAGUAUACAUAAACUUACCACUUACAGGAGACUAUGAUCAAGCAAAUCAAUACAUCUCAGAUUACACAACAGAGGACUCAAUUACUUAUUCAAUGACAGACCCUGCAGUUGUGGAAUUACCUGAGAAGAGAAAAAGGAAAAAUAUGCUCUGUGAUGAAAGUGACAUCAAUUCAGAGACAUCUUCCUGGGAAGGUCUGUAUAUAUUGAAAUGAUUGGUAUGAAGAAAACAAUUUAGCCAUAACUCUGUGAUCAUUCUUUAUUUGUAUGUACUAAACAGAUGAUAUGAACUUGAAGCAGUCAGGAAAUGAAGUGAAGCAAUCUGGUCUGAAGUCAAGAAAUGUCCCACUGCCCAGACCUCCUAUAUACCAUGAUACUCUUCAGAGAAGUGGGGAAAAAGAUGAGAAUGAUCCCAAGCCCACAAGCUCUGAUGUCUCAGAAUUUCAUGAUCUUCAACAACAUCACAUGACUUAUAAAGCAAUUACAGUGCAAACCAGGAUACCAGAUGAUGUGCAUUUAAAGAAGUCAAGAAAUGCAAUGAAGCGAGUUGGUCUGAAGACAAAGAAUGUUCAGCUGGCCAAAACUCCCAGAUACCAUGUAGUCAAGAGUCCACUUAUUCAGAAAGCUCUGUGUGUCAAAACAUCUGGUGAAUAUGAAACACUUUUUCUCUCAAAUUGA
rnacentral:lncRNA from 1 species